rnacentral:tRNA from 1 species
AAAGGGAGACCUAAUUCAGGUAGGAGACGAAAAAAAAGUAGUCGCUACCAAGAAUCAAUCCCAAAAGGUCGGAGCGAGGCAUGAGGCUUUCAAACUAGGUUCUGGGUUCAUAAAAGACCUGAAUCAGGAGCAAGGGCUAUUAGCUCAGGUGGUUAGAGCGCACCCCUGAUAAGGGUGAGGUCCCUGGUUCGAGUCCAGGAUGGCCCACCUGCACAGGUGGCAAAAAAAAAGGAAGCGAGGAAUCAGCACCUUAUCUUAUAUACAUAUAUAAGAGAGAAUGCUGGCUCUGAGUAAAGAGUCCAGAGGAACCUUGAAAACUGCAUAGAGCUAGGUGAAAAAGCCAAAAAAGAAGACCGCAAG